CUCUGGUGCAAGUCUGAAGUGAUUCUAACGUGCAAAUUGAUCAUCUGAUUUUGGUAUAAAGGCGAAAGAUUAAUCGAACCAACCAGUAUCUGGUUCCUUCUGAAGUUUCUCUCAGGAUAGCUAGAGUACGUAAUAAAGCUGUUACAUUCGGUAAAGCGAAUGAUCAGACCAAUUGUGGGAUGAAACGUCUUCAACCUCUUCUCAAACUUUCAAUGAGUAUGACGUCUUGUUUGCUUGAAUGAAGCGUAGAAAUUGAAUGUGUACACCAUCUGGGUAAGCAGAACUUGGGCGCUAUGGGAUGAACCAAAUGUUUGAGUUGAAAUAUAUUUCAAUUUUCUUCUUGAUAAGACUUGUUUAUGAGAGAUGCUGGAAAAAGCAAUAUUAGAAAU
rnacentral:ncRNA from 1 species